CCGAGUUGCAAGACUCCCUAAACCAUGUGAACAUACCUACUGUUGCUUCGGCGGGAGUGCCCCGGCGCCCCUCGUGUGCCCCCGAUCAGGCGCCCGCCGGAGGAUACCUAAACUCUUGAAUUUAUUUGGAAUCUUCUGAGUAGUUCUUUACUGAAUAAGUAA
rnacentral:misc_RNA from 1 species